AAGUAAAGGGAGGAGAGAAGUCAAGGCGUCUGCAAAAAAGUACCUAAGGGGCCAGCAUGUGAGGCUUGCUAAAGAGGCUUUUGGAUUUCCUCAAGGAAGAUGCUGGUGAUCUUGAGUCAUUUCCAUACUUAACUGAGGAUGGAAGCCUGACAGUUAAGCAGGGAAUGGAGUGAGAGGGAGUGUGGCCAACAGACAUAAGUCUCAUGUGCAAGAUGUUUGUCGAUGGAAAGAGAUGUAGUGCAAGUCACAGAUCAUCUUUAUGACUCCUAUGUUUAUAUGCUGCUUGGAAAAGCCUCUCCUAUUCAGACUAUCAUAAGUAGGUACACUCGUGUGGCACCUGCUACUUGCUGUCCUCAACACCUGCGCAAUCCCCUUAGGACUAUGGAGAACAGCUGCAGCUAGCAGGUAAACAAGGAUUGUAUUCUCAAACUGCUGCGCAGUACGAACUGGAAGCAAGGAGGCAGGAGGUAUACAAGAAUGAAAGGACCUUAACAUUGAAAGUCUGGCUUCUGCCGUUUCUUUGGAAGUGCUUGUGAUAACUUUAGCUUUUGCUGGUUUGAGUUCCAUGAGUAGCAGCAGUGGUGACUGAGUCAAGGACAAAAAGACGUUUUAGCACAACUCCUCAUAUGUGCUAGCGUCAGAAUGAGGUUCUAUCCACCAAUGAGCCCAGAGGAGAGAUCAGAGGACAGCAUGCAUCAGAACACACCAACUCUUGGACUUUCCUGGUGGUGCAGUGGUAAAGAAUCCGCCUGCCAAUGUAGGGGACACGGGUUCGAUCCCUGGUCCAGGAAGAUCCCACAUGCCG